rnacentral:rRNA from 1 species
UACGGGGGGGGCAAGCGUUGUUCGGAAUUACUGGGCGUAAAGGGCUCGUAGGCGGCCAACUAAGUCAGACGUGAAAUCCCUCAGCUUAACUGGGGAACUGCGUCUGAUACUGGUUGGCUUGAGUGCAGGAGAGGAACGCGGAAUUCCAGGUGUAGCGGUGAAAUGCGCAGAUAUCAGGAGGAACACCAAUGGCGAAGGCAGCUCGCUGGGACGUGACUGACGCUGAGGCGCGAAAGCGUGGGGAGCGAACAGG